rnacentral:tRNA from 1 species
GAAAUUUUAGGUUAAGUAGACCAAGAGCCUUCAAAGCUCUAAGAAAGUAUAUAAUACUUAAUUUCU